rnacentral:rRNA from 1 species
CCUACGGGCGGCAGCAGUGAGGAAUAUUGGUCAAUGGACGAGAGUCUGAACCAGCCAAGUAGCGUGAAGGAUGACUGCCCUAUGGGUUGUAAACUUCUUUCAUAAAGGAAUAAAACGAGGCACGUGUGCCUUUUUGCAUGUACUUUAUGAAUAAGGAUCGGCUAACUCCGUGCCAGCAGCCGCGGUAAUACGGAGGAUCCGAGCGUUAUCCGGAUUUAUUGGGUUUAAAGGGAGCGUAGAUGGGUUGUUAAGUCAGUUGUGAAAGUUUGCGGCUCAACCGUAAAAUUGCAAUUGAUACUGGCUGUCUUGAGUACAGUUGAGGUAGGCGGAAUUCGUGGUGUAGCGGUGAAAUGCUUAGAUAUCACGAAGAACCCCGAUUGCGAAGGCAGCUUACUAAACUGUAACUGACGUUGAUGCUCGAAAGUGUGGGGAGCAAACAGGAUUAGAUACCCGAGUAGUC